rnacentral:rRNA from 1 species
GACGAACGCUGGCGGCGCGCUUAACACAUGCAAGUUGAACGGAAAGGCCUGCUUUCCCUUGUGGAUUGCGGGUACUCGAGUGGCGAACGGGUGAGUAACACGUGAGUGAUCUGCCCCCAACUUGGGUAUAAGCCUGGGAAACUGGGUCUAAUUCCCGAUAGGACUGCAGGGUGGUGCCUGUGGUGGAAAACGAUUUUCUAGUGGUUGGGGAUGAGCUCGCGGCCUAUCAGCUUGUUGGUGGGGUAAUGGCCUACCAAGGCGGCGACGGGUAGCCGGCCUGAGAGGGUGGACGGCCACAUUGGGACUGGGAUACGGCCCAGACUCCUACGGGAGGCAGCAGUGGGGAAUAUUACACAAUGGGCGGAAGCCUGAUGCAGCGACGCCGCGUGGGGGAUGACGGCCUUCGGGUUGUAAACUCCUUUCGACCGCGAGGAAGCCACCUGGUUGGAAGGGUGGUGACGGUAGUGGUAGAAGAAGCACCGGCUAACUACGUG